UGGGGAAUUUUGGACAAUGGGGGAAACCCUGAUCCAGCCAUCCCGCGUGUGCGAUGAAGGCCUUCGGGUUGUAAAGCACUCUUGGCAGGAAAGAAACGUCAUGGGUUAAUACCCCGUGAAACUGACGGUACCUGCAGAAUAAGCACCGGCUAACUACGUGCCAGCAGCCGCGGUAAUACGCAGGGUGCAAGCGUUAAUCGGAAUUACUGGGCGUAAAGCGUGCGCAGGCGGUUCGGAAAGAAAGAUGUGAAAUCCCAGAGCUCAACUUUGGAACUGCAUUUUUGACGGACGGGCUAGAGUGUGGCAGAAGGAGGAAGUAUGACGCGUGUAGCAGUGAAAUGGGUAGAUAUGCGGAGGAACACCGGUGGCGAAGGCAGCCUCCUGGGAUAACACUGACGCUGAUGCACGACAGCGUGGGGAGCAAACAGG
rnacentral:rRNA from 1 species